UACGUAGGGUGCAAGCGUUGUCCGGAAUCAUUGGGCGUAAAGCGCGUGUAGGCGGCCAGAAAAGUCCGCUGUGAAAACUCGAGGCUCAACCUCGAGCUGUCGGUGGAAACUUUCUGGCUAGAGUCUGGAAGAGGAGAAUGGAAUUCCUGGUGUAGCGGUGAAAUGCGCAGAUAUCAGGAAGAACACCCGUGGCGAAGGCGGUUCUCUGGGACGGUACUGACGCUGAGACGCGAAAGCGUGGGGAGCAAACGGG
rnacentral:rRNA from 1 species